GUUUAUUGUAGAGGUUGCUUUGAGGUCUUGGGUGUUUUCCAUCCCAUAGAUGAAAAUACUUUGCCAUGCUUUCUUGUCACUGACUUGGCUUGAAGGUCACCAUCUACUGUGUCAUUUGCAUCUCGUCACACAGUGGACAGCAGAUGUUCUCUCAGCCCUUCACCACUGGUGGUGCUCAUGGUGAAAAGGCAAGAUUGGUGUCAAGUCUGACCAUUACUGAUAUUCCUGAGGCUGCAGAUACUCGAAAGGGUCCUGUCUCUGCACCCAAUACACAGUCUACCACUUGCUUGUGCCCACUGAACAAAGGCUACUUGGAAACAACUUCUCCACUGCUAUUGUGAGGAUUCAGCCUGCUGCACAGGAAAGCACUUGGAGCAGAGUUGGCCCUCGACACUUCAUGACAAGGUCAGUGAUCAGUCUUCCUUUCUUUAAUUAACUGCUUGAGAAAAUGUAUGUAGCUUAUACUCCAAAUCCCCCCAAAUCCUAUUUGAGCUCUGUGCUUUCUUGUCUAUUUU
rnacentral:lncRNA from 1 species